AAAAAAAAGACCCUAUUUAAAGAGUUUCCUACCAAGACAAGAAAACAAAAAUUUUCAAAACAUCAAGCUUCUCUUUUCUUUUCCUUCUGCUGAAACCUAGAAGCAGCUGGGAACCAAGUGAAUUUCAUCUUAUUUCAACCAUUCUUGAGGUAAUCUUAGCCUUAGAAGCUAGCUAAGUGGAGGUAAAGGGAAGGCAAAAGUUGAGCAACCAUGAGUUUGUGGUCCCAACAGCAAUGUACAUACCAGCCGCAGUAGCACGGCCCAGUAAACAGGAUGCUCUAUUUUGAUUGUAUUUUGGAAAUAUAAAGUUUAUGUUGUAAAAUACUUUGAAACCAGUUUGUAAAUAUUUUGAAAACAGGGGGACCCCGUAGUCUAUAACACUUAUCUUUUGUUAAACAGUUUUAAAAGUUGAAUUUUAAUUAUCAAAAUUUAAUUACCCACACUUUUCAGUAUAAUUACAUAUUAUAUAAAUCGGAGUAUUUUAUUUAAUUGCACACACGUUGCGUCCCUGUUGGACAGGGCGUUACACUCGAUCUCAACACCAACUACAAGUCCAGGUUUGGGUCCGGGGUCCAGGGUCCAGGGUCCGGGUCUGGGUCCCGAGUCUCGGGUCUCGUAUCCCGAGUCCCGGGCCCCGAGUCCUGAGUCCCGAGUCCCGGGUCUCGAGUCCCGAGUCCGGGGUCCCUAGUCCCAGUCCGGGUCUCAGGUCCGAGUCCAGGGUUGGGGUCCCAGGUCCAGGUCCGGGUUUGGGUCUGGGUCCGGGUCCGGGUCCGAGUUCGGGUCUAGGUUCGGGUCUGGGUCAGAGAUUGGUGUUGACCCCAAAUCUUUUGUAAACAUUAUAGGGCUUGUUUGGAUCCCUUUAUAUGGGCUUCGUAUUGUAUUAAAUUGUAGGACUACCAUGUUUGGAUGGGACAUUGUAUUGUACUAGAUAUUACAUUCCUUAAUUUUAAUACAAUUUAUCCAGUAUUAUUAUAUACUGAAUAAAAAGAGUGUAUAAGGUUGUAUUGUAUUAUUUUGGAGGGUGUGGCUGUAUUAGCCAAUACUCUCCCUCUCACCCAAACUUUUUCGUGUUUCCCGUUCAGCCAUCUUCACUGAUUUUCAAUCAUCUUCUCCGGUCGAUUUGGCCUGGAUUUCUCGGUGAAGAGCAACUUCGUGUUCUUCGACAGAUCGAUCUAUUAGAUUCAUUUCUCGGUCAAGAACAACUUCAUCUUCUCUGGCAGAUCAAUCUCUCAAAUUCACUAUCCUCUGUCGACAUCGAUCUCUUAGAUUCGUCUAUGGAACCUAUCAUCUCCUUAGCUCUCUUUCUCUCUC